rnacentral:tRNA from 1 species
GAAAAUGAAAUCAAAUGUCGAUAUUUCAUUUACAAUGAAAAUUUGUUUAAAACCGUUUUCU